rnacentral:tRNA from 1 species
GCAGGGAUGGAGCAAUGGCGGCUCGUGACGCUCAUAACGUCAAGAUCGGCAAGUUCGAAUCUUGCCCCCUGCC